CAACUUUAUUUCUGUUUCAUGUCUAAUUUCAUUGUGCUUAUGUAUGGGAAGUGAAAUAUUAAAUAACAUUUUGUGUACAAUAUUUCAAAGAGUUAUCAAUAAUUAGGAAAUGCAAUUGAUGGUAUGUAAACCAAGACCAAGAUGAAGUCUCUUUACAUGUUAAUUUAAUGAGAAUUUUGUUUUCUUGUAUCUUGUUUGACAUGGUAUUAGAGCAAGUAAAAAUAUUGAAAUUUACACUAAAGAUGUUUUCCGGCAAAGUUCAUUAAGUGUGCUGCUACCUUGAUUUCCAUGCUGAUUCAGCAGCCAAAUAAGUUACCACAUUAGGAUAUUUUACUCAAAGGGACAAACACAGUCGUUGAAAGAGAAGCAGAAACAAACAACCUAAGCGCCAUCUGAAGGAACGUCACUCUUAGCGUCAAGUCAAUUGCCAAAUGUGCCAGAAUUGUCCCGUCAGUGCCACGUUAGCACUAAAUCAUGACAAGUCACUGUUCAGGCAAAAUCAUGUCAUUGUCCGAUCAACAAUCAUUCACUAUUUAGUCACCUGCCCCGUUUCGAAAAAUCAAAAUUUGGGUUAUUUGAGGUCCGGUUCCAUUUUUGCAAUCAGGUUUGUCACAUUCCAAUCAUAAACUGGAACCAGGAACAAGUGUCAGAGUGCUCCUUCAGGAGAGUCGGUUCAUUUUCUCGUUUUUUAUGCUAACUACAUGUGUUGAAACUUAAGGUGGCUAAGCAUUCAUCUGUGUCUUUGUUAUCCUCACCAAUUAUCAAUUGCAUAUCUUUAUCACCUUUCAUCUCUUGGGCUCUAGAAAUAUCUGAUUUAGGAGCCCAAUAUCACAGUCACCCUUAUGCACCGAACUAUGACCAAGGGAGUCGGUCAAGAACACAUUAUUUUCCAUUUUUUACUUUGUCCUACAUUUCCUGAUUGCACGUUCGACCUUUUUUAUGUGAGCAAGACUUAGUCUUCUUGUUGUUUUGUUAUAUUUAGUGAACACUGGAUGGCCAAUUUGCAAAGACUGUGAGGAGUCGUGAUGCCUUUAUUAUCUUUUCAAUCCCUCACCUUUCUCUGUAUUAAGAUAUUAUUCUCUCUGUUUCAAUUUAUGUGAACCUAUUUCCUUGUUAGUCCGUUUUCCUUUCUAUAUUUGAAAGAAGUUUUUAAUUUAACCUUUCUGUUUCACCCGUAAUGAAAAGCUUUUUAUAGCCAUACAAAUGUUAUGGCAUGUUAAAGGCCACAUGUUUCAAAAGUCUUAUAGCUACAUAAAUGUUAUGAUAUAUAUUUAAUAGCAAUCUUAUGCACAACAACCAAGGUAUCAACAUCUACCGCAUGCUUCCAAUACACAAAUACAACAUAUAACAACUGUUUUAUAUAUCCAGGAAAAAACUGCAGUCCAAAGUAAUUACAAAAUGCUAUAGAUCAGUCUCCUAUUCCUUUGGUUCACAAGGUUCCUAUAACAUCUACAAAUGAUUCAUGAUCUUCCAUAUAUUCAUGUUUACACCAAAAAUAAAACAAAACUAAGUACU